UGGGGAAUUUUGGACAAUGGGCGAAAGCCUGAUCCAGCAAUGCCGCGUGUGUGAAGAAGGCCUUCGGGUUGUAAAGCACUUUUGUCCGGAAAGAAAUCCUUGGCUCUAAUACAGUCGGGGGAUGACGGUACCGGAAGAAUAAGCACCGGCUAACUACGUGCCAGCAGCCGCGGUAAUACGUAGGGUGCAAGCGUUAAUCGGAAUUACUGGGCGUAAAGCGUGCGCAGGCGGUUUGCUAAGACCGAUGUGAAAUCCCCGGGCUCAACCUGGGAACUGCAUUGGUGACUGGCAGGCUAGAGUAUGGCAGAGGGGGGUAGAAUUCCACGUGUAGCAGUGAAAUGCGUAGAGAUGUGGAGGAAUACCGAUGGCGAAGGCAGCCCCCUGGGCCAAUACUGACGCUCAUGCACGAAAGCGUGGGGAGCAAACAGGAUUAGAUACCCUGGUAGUCCACGCCCUAAACGAUGUCAACUAGUUGUUGGGGAUUCAUUUCCUUAGUAACGUAGCUAACGCGUGAAGUUGACCGCCUGGGGAGUACGGUCGCAAGAUUAAAACUUAAAUG
rnacentral:rRNA from 1 species